ACACCACCCCACGGCCUUGGCCCCGGGGUUUUGGGGUACACAGGGGGACACGGGGGGACACGGGGACGUGCCACAGCCUGGGGGUGCCGUGUCCUCCAGCCAAGGUGCUGGGGGGCACCAGGGACGUGGCACCCCACGGCCAGGGUCACCCGGUGGGGUGCCACCCCCCUGUGCCACCACGGGGCUCCGGGGCAGGGCUGACGCUGGCCUUCACCCCGCAGCCGGGAGGAGGAUGAGGAGGAUGAGGAGUCCCCGGGGGGCGUGCGCUGGAGCCCCCUGAGCGGGGCGCAGCUGGAGGAGAUGGUGCGCGAGGCCACGCGGCUGGCGGCCCAGCUGCAGCACAGCCACCUGCCCCCCCUGGGCCCCGGCCCCAGCCCGCCGGGGGGGGGGGGCAGCCCCCGAAACCCCCGCCGCGAGACCUUCGUGGUGAAGGACAGCCCCGUGCGGGAGCUGCUGCCCACCGUGCCCCCCGCCCGCGAGGACACCCCUGGCUGUCACCCCCCGCCAGCACCCAAGGGACCCCCAGCUCGGGGCAGGGGAACCCUUGGCCGGGGGGGCCCUUCCCGGCUGUGCCCCCCGCGUGGGGCAGGGGCUGCGGCACGGGGCAGGUCCGAGCCCCUCCGGAAAGGGCCAGCAGGUAACGGGGUGACGGGUCUGGGGGGGGGACAGGGACAACUUGGGCAUGGGCAGCUCCUUGGCACAGGGACACGGCCGUGGGGCGCCGCCCCGUGGGGACCCCCGUGCGGUGGGGUGUCACCUCAUGGGGACACCCCCGCCAUGGGGACACCCCUCCCUUAGGGUCACCCAUCCUAUGGGGACAGCAUGGGGACAGGGAGCAGAGACCCCCUGGACACCAGCGCACCCCACGGGGCUGGGGGCUCAGUGGGGUCCCCCCCCCAACCCCCCCAUCUCUCCCAGGCCAGCCAAAGGCGAGGGGUGGCGCUGCUGCCGCCCCCCCAACCCGUGCGCCCCGCGCCAGGGCCACCACCGCCGCCGUCCCCGUCCCCAG
rnacentral:lncRNA from 1 species